AAACCGGUUGUGAAACAGAAUGAAGGAACUAGAGUAGCAGGGGACAGUCCCUAGACAGCUUACCUUUCCACAGACUUGUCUUGCUCUACUGCCUCCAGCCCCGCCCUCCCUUCUGCUGACCCUGACCAUAGAAAUUAGAGCUGAGUUCCUUGAGUGCAUCACAUCAAAGGCAGCAUGAAGACAGGUGCAGUCCUUGUUCUGAUGGCUUUCGUCUCCGUGGGAGUGGAGCUGACCUGCGCUUGGAGACCUCCCUUCAGAGGGCAAGAAAGAGCCAGUGUCUGCCCAGAGGUGCCCGAAGGAGUCUUUGGGAUUUGCGCUGAAAUGUGCUCGGGAGAUCAGUCGUGUCCCAGGGGGAUGAAAUGCUGCAGCAAUGGAUGCGGUCACGUCUGCAAGUAUCCUGUCCCUUAACAUUCGUUAAGCAUGCCUGGAUCCCAGCACCAGGAGAUUUCUCGUGAAUCCACGAAUCUGAUGCUUGGCACUAAGAGGACUCUCCCAGAGUCCAUUCCUGGCUAACACCCAUCCCUGGGAUUUUAGCCCUGGAAGUAGAAUAUCUAAAGUGGUGGAGGGACUGCUUUCUAAAGAGCUUGUGUCCAAAAUAAACUGUACCUGUGGCAUUA